rnacentral:rRNA from 1 species
AGAGUUUGAUCAUGGCUCAGGAUGAACGCUGGCGGCGCGCCUAACACAUGCAAGUCGAACGGUUAAAGCCCCGUUCGGGGGUGCAUAAAGUGGCGAACGGCUGAGUAACACGUGGGCAACCCUGCCCCCCGCUUCGGGAUAGGCCUCGGGAAACCGUGGGUAAUACCGGAUACUCCGCCCACCCCGCAUGGGGAGGGCGGGAAAGCGCAUACGGCGGGGGAUCGGGCCCGCGGCCUGUUAGCUCGUUGGCGGGGUAACGGCCCACCAAGGCUAUUAUGGGUAGCCGGGUUGAGAGACCGACCGGCCAGAUUGGGACUGAGACACGGCCCAGACUCCUACGGGAGGCAGCAGUGGGGAAUCUUGCACAAUGGGCGAAAGCCUGAUGCAGCGACGCCGCGUGCGGGAUGAAGGCCCUCGGGUUGUAAACCGCUUUCAGCAGGGACGAGGCGCAAGUGACGGUACCUGCAGAAGAAGCCCCGGCUAACUACGUGCCAGCCGCGGC